rnacentral:rRNA from 1 species
AGAAUCAACGCUGGCGGCGUGCCUAACACAUGCAAGUCGAACGCGAAAGUCCCGAAAGGGAUAAGUAGAGUGGCAAACGGGUGAGUAACACGUGGGUGACCUGCCUUCGAGCGGGGGAUAACGUCCCGAAAGGGACGCUAAUACCGCAUGACAUCCUGCCUUUGAAGAGGCGGAGAUCAAAGCCGGGGAUCGCAAGACCUGGCACUCGAAGAGGGGCCCGCGCCUGAUUAGCUAGUUGGUGGGGUAAUGGCUCACCAAGGCGACGAUCAGU